AUCCAGCUGAUGAGUCCUAAAUAGGACGAAACGUGUGUCAAACUGGAA
rfam:Schistosoma haematobium scaffold317_21, whole genome shotgun sequence.